UUUCGAAAAUAUCCAUUUAGUGUUUCGUAGAAUUGUUAAUAAACUUAUUAAAAAUCUUUAGUCAAUCUCUAAAAAUCUAAAAUCUCUAGAGUCCACUCGGCUCAGUCUUUCGCGCGAUCUAUCUAUUGUGCAGUCUGUUUGCAUGUCUGUCAAUUUUGCUUCUAGUACGUUUGUAAAAUGUACUGUUCAGUUGGAGUCAGUUGGGAAGUGCAUGAAGCAUUUCUCAACAAAGUACAGAUCAUUAUACCAGAAAGCUUCGGAUUGAUAGGUCUUUAACUUAUU